GUGAAUCAUCGAAUCUUUGAACGCAUCUUGCGCCCCGGUGGUAUUCCGCCGGGCAUGCCUGUCUGAGUGUCAUAACUAUCUCAACCCUAGCGAUGUUGUCAUGACGUUGCUCAGCGGAUUGGAUCAUGGGCUUGGCAGGGUUCGCCCUGCCAGUCUUAAAUGUAGUAGGCUAGCCGACUAUCAGCGGUUUGACCGGGUGUUGUAGAGUCGCCUCGACUCGGGACGCUGAUCGGAAUAGUUGAAUUGUAAUUGUAUUACUCGAGCGAUUCAGACCUCAGAUCAGGUAGGAUUACCCGCUGAACUUAAGCAUAUCAAUAAGGCGAGG
rnacentral:rRNA from 1 species